GAAUAAGACAGAAUGGGAAUGACAACCGACAAGACACCGCUGCUACUACACCAACCAACGCAGCCCAGUACGGCAAUGAACAGCAGAUUUACUCAAACAUCAGACCAAACACUGGAGAUCAGAGUGAGGCCACUGCUACACCAACCUAUGCAACCCUUCAGUACCGCUACGAUGAACAGCAGACAUACUCAACCAUCAGACCAAACACUGGAGACCAGGCUGACUCUGUGGACUAUGAGAAUGUGUGACUCAAUGUCUUGAAAGGAAAAUGGAGUCGUGCUGCUGCAGUACACUGAACUGUCUGCUGGCACCAUCCUCCCUCUGCGAUACUCUGCGUGUCUUCUGACAAUAUCAAUAACAACAUCUAUGUAUAAUUUGCCGUUUGCUUUUUCUGUUCCUCUCAGAAGGUGUAAGUCCAGAUCAUGCAACAUUGUAAAGAUGGUGAUAUCGGAUGGUGGUCUGAUAUCUACAUCGCACAAUGUUACACAGAAUGUGGAAGUACGGCUUCAUAAGUUCCCAGGCUCCCGUUUCUUUUCAUUUAAUGUGACGUUUCGGGCAGCAUACCCUUCUUCAGACUAAAAACACAUGAAAAGCACAGUUUAAAUACCCAUGAUCAUAGGUGGUUCAACCCCCAGCCAGGUGAUCCCCAUUUAUGUCAAUCUCCUUUGAAAAGUGAUGUGUGCAACAUGAAACCACAAAGUGAAUGUACAUAUUUUGCCCGAGACAUCACAUUAAAUGAAAAGAAACGGGAGCCUGGUGUGUGGACUUUAUUUUCAAUUUUCAUGUGACUUUGCUGGUCCUGCACC